GCCCCCAUAGCUCAGAGGAUAGAGCGGUUGCUUCCUAAGCUGCGUCUGCGCAGGUUCGAAUCCUGCUGGGGGUG
rnacentral:tRNA from 1 species